rnacentral:rRNA from 1 species
AGCGGCGGACGGGUGAGUAACACGUGGGUAACCUGCCCAAGAGACUGGGAUAACACCUGGAAACAGAUGCUAAUACCGGAUAACAACACUAGACGCAUGUCUAGAGUUUGAAAGAUGGUUCUGCUAUCACUCUUGGAUGGACCUGCGGUGCAUUAGCUAGUUGGUAAGGUAACGGCUUACCAAGGCAAUGAUGCAUAGCCGAGUUGAGAGACUGAUCGGCCACAUUGGGACUGAGACACGGCCCAAACUCCUACGGGAGGCAGCAGUAGGGAAUCUUCCACAAUGGACGAAAGUCUGAUGGAGCAACGCCGCGUGAGUGAAGAAGGGUUUCGGCUCGUAAAGCUCUGUUGGUAGUGAAGAAAGAUAGAGGUAGUAACUGGCCUUUAUUUGACGGUAAUUACUUAGAAAGUCACGGCUAACUACGUGCCAGCAGCCGCGGUAAUACGUAGGUGGCAAGCGUUGUCCGGAUUUAUUGGGCGUAAAGCGAGUGCAGGCGGUUCAAUAAGUCUGAUGUGAAAGCCUUCGGCUCAACCGGAGAAUUGCAUCAGAAACUGUUGAACUUGAGUGCAGAAGAGGAGAGUGGAACUCCAUGUGUAGCGGUGGAAUGCGUAGAUAUAUGGAAGAACACCAGUGGCGAAGGCGGCUCUCUGGUCUGCAACUGACGCUGAGGCUCGAAAGCAUGGGUAGCGAACAGGAUUAGAUACCCUGGUAGUCCAUGCCGUAAACGAUGAGUGCUAAGUGU